rnacentral:rRNA from 1 species
GGGCCAGACUCCUACGGGAGGCAGCAGUGGGGAAUAUUGCACAAUGGGGGAAACCCUGAUGCAGCGACGCCGCGUGAGCGAUGAAGUCUUUCGGUAUGUAAAGCUCUAUCAGCAGGGAAGAAGAUGACGGUACCUGACUAAGAAGCCCCGGCUAACUACGUGCCAGCAGCCGCGGUAAUACGUAGGGGGCAAGCGUUAUCCGGAUUUACUGGGUGUAAAGGGAGCGUAGACGGCGAUGCAAGCCAGAUGUGAAAGCCCGGGGCUCAACCCCGGGACUGCAUUUGGAACUGUGUGGCUGGAGUGUCGGAGAGGCAGGCGGAAUUCCUAGUGUAGCGGUGAAAUGCGUAGAUAUCAGGAGGAACACCGGCGGCGAAGGCGGCCUGCUGGACCGCGACUGACGUUGAGGCUCGAAAGCGUGUGGAGCGAACAGGAUUAGAUACCCGAGUA